rnacentral:tRNA from 1 species
GGUUCACUAAGGGAUGUUCCCCCAGGUCGUAGACUCGCGUGAACCUCGGCGAACCUCUCGCCUAAGGCUACGGAUCAGAAGGUUAGGGGUUCGAAUCCCUUCGGGUGCACCA